rnacentral:rRNA from 1 species
GCAUAACGCGAAGAACCUUACCAAGGCUUGACAUCCCUCUGACCGAUUUAGAGAUAGAUCUUUCCCUUCGGGGACAGAGGUGACAGGUGGCGCAUGGUUGUCGUCAGCUCGUGUCGUGAGAUGUUGGGUUAAGUCCCGCAACGAGCGCAACCCUUAUCUUUAGUUGCCAGCAUUUAGUUGGGCACUCUAGAGAGACUGCCGGUGACAAACCGGAGGAAGGUGGGGAUGACGUCAAAUCAUCAUGCCCCUUAUGUCUUGGGCUACACACGUGCUACAAUGGUUGGUACAAAGGGCUGCAAGCCAGCGAUGGUUAGCCAAUCCCAUAAAGCCAAUCUCAGUUCGGAUUGUAGGCUGCAACUCGCCUACAUGAAGUCGGAAUCGCUAGUAAUCGCAGAUCAGCAUGCUGCGGUGAAUACGUUCCCGGGUCUUGUACACACCG